GUGGGUAUUGCUCAGUGGUAGAGUGCAUGCUUAGCAUGGACGAGGGCCUGGGUUCAAUUCCUAGUACUCCCA
rnacentral:tRNA from 1 species